GUAGUGUUGGAGUGCAGCAAAGCUCUCACAGGCAUGUGGGUGGAAGCUACAGGCCUUUGCAGCUGACCCUCAACUUCAUGUGGCCUCCAAGGUACACUCAGGGCAACAAAGGGACUUAAAUCAUACAUAAAACCAAAAUAACAUCACCUGAUAUGCAAGCACUCAGAAACUGUAAAGUACAAUAUCGCCCAUCCCACGCUCUCUCCAGAUGGCAAAACGGGCCUUUCUUGUGUCCUUUUGCCUUAAGGUCUGACUUCAACACUUGCUUGAACCAAGUCAAAAGCCUCAUUAAACAUCAGCUAAAACACCUGGACAGAAGAUCCCGAGGGAAAAUGAACAAAGGGAAAGGAAAGCAGAGGGCUGGCUGACAUCUUCUUAAAGGAAAAGGCAGAAAACUAAGCUUCUAGUUUAAACACAAUGGCCUUCGCACAUGUUCUGAGAAUUGUAAUGUCCCAAGACAUAAGAGAUGUGAAGAUAGCAAUUCAAGUAUGUCAAUGAGAAGCCACAGUAGCACCAUGGAAAAGUCCAAAGUAGCAGUGACAAUAGAAGCCAGCACUCGUGAUGGAAAGUUGAUUAACACAAGGACUAUUCUACAAAAUACCUGACCAGUACUUCUAAAAAUUGUCAAAAUCAAGAAAGACAAAGGAAGUCUGAGAGACCGGCAGACCAGAGACUAAAGACAUAUGGUGACUAAGUAUAAUGUGAAAUCCUGGAUUGGAUCCUGGAACAGAAAAAAAGACUCUAGAGGAACAAUAAAGGAGAUAGGAAUAAAGUAUUAUUUUAGUUAAUAAUGUAUCAGUGUUGGUUUCUUACCUGUGACAAAGAUAUCAUAAUAAGAUGUUAUAGUAGAAGAAACUGGAAGAAAGAAUUCUUCCCUUACCUAUUUGUGACUUUUCUGUAGAUAUAAAACUUCUAAAAUAAAAGAAUUUUUAAAUCAAGCAAUUCAUAUUUCAAUAUCCACACUCAAUAAUAAGUCGACCCUAGAGAUCAAAAGCAGAACACAGAGUCAGGAGCAGCAGUGCACAGCAUAGUGCCAGCACCCAGGGGUCUUGAAGCAGCGGCUCUGAUACUCCAGUCCAGCCUGGACAACUUAGUGUGACACUGUCGCAAAAUAAGGUACAGAGCCUAGAGACACAGUGUAGUGGUGCAGAGCUUGUGCAAGACCCUGAAUCCAACCCAGCACCACAAAACCAAAACAGAGAAAAGGAAAAUCAGGUUCUAAUUCAGGUUUUACAAAAAUCCUUACACCUGUAAGUGUGGUGAUGCAAAACAAUAAAAAUGGACCAGGGACAAUUAUGAGGUUCUUAUCUCAGUUGUUACCAGGAAAAAAUGUUUCAUUUGUGUCUGAAGUAUAUGCAAGUUCAUUUAAAACAAACUCGCAAAA